rnacentral:misc_RNA from 1 species
GUGAAUCAUCGAAUUUUUGAACGCAAAUUGCACUCUCCUCUGAGAGUAUGCCUGUUUGAGGGUCAGCCUAUAAAAAAUCGACAUAGUCGCUGUUUCGCGGUGACAUUCGUCGGAAAUGGGGGCAUCUUAAAUCUUUUGGGUUUAAGCGACUUAAAAUUUUCUUUUUGAUUCCAUGCACGUGUGUCUAAGAUUUAUUUCUUUACACGUUUAAGGUAUCUUUUUUUACUAGACGUGACCAUCAUAUCGGAUCGCAUCCAUAAUC